rnacentral:lncRNA from 1 species
AGGUGGGGGCAAAAGUACGCACGGGGCAAAGGUACGCAUUUACAUUUUUCAGUAACUUCUUAUAUGUUGGUGACAACAUCUUGUGGCAUAUGUUUGUACUACUCAGUAGCAUUGGAUGAGAAACUUUGGCGCAAUCAGGGCGAACACAACAACAAAAAUGAGAUAAAAAUUAUUUUUGUACCUUUUGAUCUAAUUUUUCUUAAAAAUUGAUUGAUUCUAAUUCUUAAUCUUUCAAACUCAGUUUAUUAUUGGUUAGGCAUGUUGAAUGUUUAUUGUUAGAAGUCUUCUUCUACAUGACAGUUUGAAGUUCAUAUGUGCAUAGUUUCAUAUUGAGGUUAGAUAUAUUAUUGGUUGCCGGAUGGGGCAAAAGUACUCACACAAAUGGGGCAAAGGUAGACUUGGCAAAUGCAUGUUUCAAGUCAAUCUUCAAAGUGAAUAUCAAGUUGAGCUUGAUAUUCUGUCAGCUAAUUUUGUCUCAAUUGCAAAAUGUCUCAAAUCGGCAAAAGUACGCAUGUGCGUACUUUUGCCCCAUUGGGUGGGGCAAAGGUACGCAUUUACAUUUUUUUUU